rnacentral:rRNA from 1 species
UCCAGACUCCUACGGGUGGCAGCAGUGGGGGAUAUUGCACAAUGGGGGAAACCCUGAUGCAGCGACGCCGCGUGGGCGAAGAAGUAUUUCGGUAUGUAAAGCCCUAUCAGCAGGGAAGAAGAAAUGACGGUACCUGAGUAAGAAGCACCGACUAAAUACGUGCCAGCAGCCGCGGUAAUACGUAUGGUGCAAGCGUUAUCCGGAUUUACUGGGUGUAAAGGGAGCGUAGACGGCCAUGCAAGCCAGGGGUGAAAGCCCGGGGCCCAACCCCGGGACUGCCCUUGGAACUGCAUGGCUGGAGUGCGGGAGGGGCAGGCGGAAUUCCUGGUGUAGCGGUGAAAUGCGUAGAUAUCAGGAGGAACACCGGUGGCGAAGGCGGCCUGCUGGACUGCAACUGACGUUGAGGCCCGAAAGCGUGGGGAGCAAACAGGAUUAGAUACCCCCGUACUC